GCGUCCGUAGCUCAAUUGGAUAGAGCAUCUGCCUUCGGAGCAGAGGGUUGGGGGUUCGAGUCCCUCCGGACGUGCCA
rnacentral:tRNA from 1 species